rnacentral:rRNA from 1 species
AUUGAACGCUGGCGGCAUGCCUUACACAUGCAAGUCGAACGGUAACAGGCCGCAAGGUGCUGACGAGUGGCGAACGGGUGAGUAAUGCAUCGGAACGUGCCCAGUCGUGGGGGAUAACGCAGCGAAAGCUGCGCUAAUACCGCAUACGAUCCCUGGAUGAAAGCGGGGGACCGAAAGGCCUCGCGCGAUUGGAGCGGACGAUGUCAGACUAGGUAGUUGGUGGGGUAAAGGCCCACCAAGCCAACGAUCUGUAGCUGGUCUGAGAGGACGGACAGCCACACUGGGAGUGGGAGAACGCCCAGAGUCCUACGGGAGGAAGGAGUGGGUGAUUUUGGACAAUGGGCGCAAGCCUGGUCCAGCAAUGCCGCGUGCAGGAAGAAGGCCUUCGGGUUGUAAACUGCUUUUGUUCGGAACGAAACGGUCCGGGUUAAUACCCUGGGCUAAUGACGGUACCGUAAGAAUAAGCACCGGCUAACUACGUGCCAGCCGCCGCGGUAAAAC